rnacentral:lncRNA from 1 species
GUUAUUCAUAUCCUAGAAGAUAGAGAGAUUGUUUCUAAUAAACCCUCGGCUCAAGAAAUAUAAAAAGAAAUAGUAAAAAACAAGCAGAAAGAUAAUGACGACAAAAGAAACAAUAGCGACAAGCUGUAACAAUAGCAAAAUACUAAAAAGAAAAGGUGAAAGAUAAUUGGGAAACAUCAUGAACUACUAGUAAUCUAAGACAAGAAAAAUUACCAGACUAACCCUAAAACAAUCGGUAUAGAACAAAAAUACGCUUGACUACUUACUAACCUUCUAUCCUAAUUCUCGUCUUCCACUCCCUUCAAUAAAGGGUCAUGUCCUUAGUAAGUUGAAGUUGUCCUGCCUGAUCACCUCCCCUAUACUUCUUAGAUCUCCCUCUACCUCUGCUCCUACCCAUCAAAACCAACUGAUCGCACAUCACAACUGGGGCAUCUUGGGUUCUCCUUUUGACAUGCCUAAGCCAUCUCAUUCCCACUUCUCGUAUUUUGUCCUCCAUGGGUGCUACUCACACUUUCAUCCAAAUAUCUUCAUUUCCA